rnacentral:rRNA from 1 species
CUGCUGAAUUUAAGCAUAUAAAUAAGCGGAGGAAAAGAAACCAACAGGGAUUCCCCCAGUAACGGCGAGCGAAGCGGGAACAGCUCGAGCAUGAAAUCUCCGGCAGUUAUGCCGGCGAAUUGUGGCCGAGAGUGGCAGCUUGGUUCUGGUUCCGAUGCCGAAGUUUGCCUGGAAAGGCACGUCAGAGAGGGCGAGAACCCCGUGCGUGGCAGAGGACACCAGGACCGCCAACUGCACACGGAGAGUCGGGUUGUUUGGGAAUGCAGCCCAAAGUUGGUGGUAAACUCCAUCUAAAGCUAAAUACUGGCACGAGACCGAUAGCAAACAAGUACCGUGAGGGAAAGGUGAAAAGUACUUUGAAAAGAGAGUCAAAGAGAACGCGAAACCGUUAGGAGGGAAGCGAAUGCAGCCAGUACGAGUCCCGUCAGGUUCAGGGGCAGCGGACGCGUCGCUCUGGGGUAGCCUAGAUGGCUCCCGAGGGUUGUCGCGCGGCCGCGCAUCUGCACUCCUGCGGGGUUCUUGCCAACGGCAGUGGUCGGUGCCCACGAGCAGUCGGGGAGGUACCCUUCCCCUCCUCGGAGGAGGGAGGAACAUAUAACCUUUCUGUGACGGACAUCGGCGACUGAGGAGACGAUCACUUCUGAUCUGACGACGCAGGCUCCCCCCCGGGGUGGGCUGGCCCCCCUCUCGGACGUCCGGCCUCGCGACCCAGGACUGCGUGCAGUGCUGGGACGCGUGUGCCUUCGACCGGGCGGGAAGGGUGCAACUGCGUCCGGCGGUUGGCAAAACNNNNNNNNNNNNNNNNNNNNUUGAAACACGGACCAAGGAGUGCAACACGCCCGCGAGUCUUUGGGUGGCAAACCCGCCGGCGAAAUGAAAGUGAAGGUGCCCUCUCGGGUACCGAGGCGAGAGCCGCGUAAAAGCGGUGCAUCGUCGACCGAUCCUAUCCACGUCGUGGGGGGAUUCGAGUUAGAGCGUGCCUGUUGCGACCCGAAAGAUGGUGAACUAUGCCUGAAUAGGGUGAAGCCAGAGGAAACUCUGGUGGAAGCUCGUAGCGAUUCUGACGUGCAAAUCGAUCGUCAAAUUUGGGUAUAGGGGCGAAAGACUAAUCGAACCAUCUAGUAGCUGGUUCCCUCCGAAGUUUCCCUCAGGAUAGCUGGAACCCGGAGCAGUUUUAUCAGGUAAAGCGAAUGAUUAGAGGUCUUGGGGUUGAAACAACCUCAACCUAUUCUCAAACUUUAAAUGGGUAAGAAGUCUGGCUUGCUCGACUUGAAGUCAGACAUAGAAUGCCGGGGUUCCUAGUGGGCCAUUUUUGGUAAGCAGAACUGGCGAUGCGGGAUGAACCGAACGCUGGGUUAAGGUGCCCGAAUCGGCGCUCAUCAGACACCAUGAAAGGUGUUGGUUGAUCUAGACAGCAGGACGGUGGCCA